rnacentral:rRNA from 1 species
GAGUUUGAUCGUGGCUCAGAUUGAACGCUGGCGGCAUGCCUUACACAUGCAAGUCGAACGGCAGCAUGAUCUAGCUUGCUAGAUUGAUGGCGAGUGGCGAACGGGUGAGUAAUACAUCGGAACGUGCCCUGUAGUGGGGGAUAACUAGUCGAAAGAUUAGCUAAUACCGCAUACGACCUGAGGGUGAAAGUGGGGGACCGCAAGGCCUCAUGCUAUAGGAGCGGCCGAUGUCUGAUUAGCUAGUUGGUGGGGUAAAGGCCCACCAAGGCGACGAUCAGUAGCUGGUCUGAGAGGACGAUCAGCCACACUGGGACUGAGACACGGCCCAGACUCCUACGGGAGGCAGCAGUGGGGAAUUUGGACAAUGGGCGAAAGCCUGAUCCAGCAAUGCCGCGUGUGUGAAGAAGGCCUCGGUUGUAAGUACGACUUUGUUCCGGUAACGAAAGUAGGACGUC